CAGAAAAUAGUUUAAACAGAACCCUAGCUUUGGGAGCUAACAGUCAAUACUAUUGUUUUCUGA
rnacentral:tRNA from 1 species